GGAGCGGUGGCUGGGUGGUUAAAGCAUGGUGAAGCGUCCGGCAGGCGUCGACACCAAAGUCCGCCGGUUCGACUCCGGCCCGUUCUG